rnacentral:rRNA from 1 species
CCAGACUCCUACGGGAGGCAGCAGUGAGGAAUAUUGGUCAAUGGGCGGGAGCCUGAACCAGCCAAGUCGCGUGAGGGAAGACGGUCCUAUGGAUUGUAAACCUCUUUAGGCGGGGAGCAAUGCCGGGCACGCGUGCCCGGAGGGAGAGUACCCGCAGAAUAAGCAUCGGCUAACUCCGUGCCAGCAGCCGCGGUAAUACGGAGGAUGCGAGCGUUAUCCGGAUUUAUUGGGUUUAAAGGGUGCGUAGGCGGAUUUUUAAGUCAGCGGUAAAAUGUCCGGGCUCAACCCGGGCCGGCCGUUGAAACUGGGGAUCUUGAGUGGGCGAGAAGUAUGCGGAAUGCGUGGUGUAGCGGUGAAAUGCAUAGAUAUCACACAGAACACCGAUUGCGAAGGCAUCUCACGAAUCCGCGAUUGACGCUGAUGCACGAAAGCGUGGGUAUCAAACAGGAUUAGAUACCCGAGUA